AGGAAAGUAGUGUAGUGGUUAACACACGAGACUCGGGUAGGCGCGAGGCGCGGGUUUCAUUCCCGCCUGUGCCG
rnacentral:tRNA from 1 species